GGGACUCAAUUGAUAAAAUGAUAUGCCUUACAACUCCCCAAAAAAUCUGGUCACAAACGGGUUAAUGAUUAUAAAUUAUAUAAUGAUUAUAAUUUAUAUCUAACAUAAAAACAACAGAAUCAAAAAUAAUCAGCCGUGUAUACCAUACACAUGCUUUGUCUAAAACUGUUCUCUGUUCUUACACAACAGAACCUGGAUCAGGAUUCCUCUGACCACAACUCUGACAAUGGCUCAGAAGACAAACAUGAUGGUGGUGGGAUUACUAGCCUGCAAACAGACCCUGGUGAUGAUAUCCUCAGACAUCCUUCCUCCCCACUCUUGUUUGAGGACAGUGUUGAUUUUGAGUUGUUUGAACCACUGUGGCAGUCUUUUACUGACUCUGAAUCCAUUGGCAAUGGAGAAGAAUGUCCCAUGGAAGACAGCACUGACAAGUCAGAAAAUUAAGAAUCACAUUUGGGAGUAGGCGGUAAUGAAAAGUUUCCUUUGGCAAAUGAUAAGCCACUUUACACAGGCUCACAACUAACGAAAGCUCAGAGUUUUUUACUUAUACUUUCAUAUGCUUUGAGACACUCACUUACUGGUGUGGACCUGUCUGAUCUUUUAGAUUUGAUUAAUAUCCACUGUCCGGAAAAUGUUCUAACUUCAAAGCAUCUGCUCUUAAAAGAGCUUAAACCAAUACAAGGUCACCUAGAACGUCACGUAUACUGUCCCAACUGUGAAUAUUACAUCGGCGACCAAGUCACUGAAGGGCAGUGUUCUGUAUGUAACUCUGCAUGGGAUAGAAACAGCUCACUGAAGAAUGGAAAUUUCUUCCUAUACUUACCCAUCCAAACAUAACUGGAACAUCUUCUUCAAAGAGAAGAUAUUGCAUGUUGUCUCAAGUCAGGAAAUGGCACGUGCAAUUCAGAAAAUUAUG
rnacentral:lncRNA from 1 species